GUUAAUGUAGCUUAACAAUAAAGCAAAGCACUGAAAAUGCUUAGAUGAGUUUAUGAACUCCAUGAACA
rnacentral:tRNA from 1 species